CCGGGCUAUGGGGCUGCGUGUGCUGCCGCCGCGGCUCCUGCUGCUGUCGGCGCUGCUGCUGCCGGUGCAGCUGUUCGGAGCCGCGGACCCCACGCCCCCGUCACUGCGCCGCACGCAGGCCACGCUCUUGCCGCAUCCCGCCGUGACGAACGGGAGCCAGCCGGGCGCGCCGCACAACAGCACACGCCCUUGGCCGCUGGGCUCGCCGGACUCGCCGCUUCUGCGUUCCCUCUACGUGGUUACGGGCCUCAUCGUCCUAGCCGUGCUCUACUUCCUCAUCCGGGCAUUCAGCGCCCCCCUCCCAGGGGUCCUCGCCCAAGGGCCUACGCCCUGGGGGCCUGCCAAGGGAGAUGUGCACAGCAACUCAUAACGAUUGUGACCAUUAUGAGAAGAAACGCAGUUGGAACCGGAAAGUUCACAGCAAGACUCUGGGAGUCGAGCAGACGAGCAUUAUCGGAGAAGGUGGGAAGCAGGGCAGGGUGUCAGCAGCUCCAGCGAAGGGCCAUGAGAGGGCCGCUGAGCGAGCCUGGGUCUGCUUCCAGAUUGAAAAAGCCGCAGCAGAGGAGGUACGGGCUCCUGGCCAACACCGAGGACCCCACCGAGAUGGCAUCGCUGGACAGCGACGAGGAGACGGUCUUUGAAACAAGGAACCUGAGAUGAUGUACAGGUCGGGAAGGCAGCAUUUCCAGCGGCCUUGUGGGAAGGACAAGAGACAGGGCCCCUCCCAGUGCUUAGAAUGCCCUGCUGAUUCUCCUGCCGCCAAAGAGCUUGUGUGGGGCCUGCCCGGCCUGCCAGGAGCCGCCCCAGCCCUGCCCCUGGACAAGACCGCCCAGGAUACCGGCUGGAAGCCAGAGGGUCCCCGGCAGCAGCACGCAGAACUCUGAGGUCCCCGGCCACAUUGUGACUUGUGCCGAUCACCCUUCCUGGUGGGGAUGUGGCAGCCCCAAGCUGAGGCCUGGUAGGCGGGUGGGCUGGGGGGCCUGUCUGGGAGCACCAUAUCCCUGGGCUGAGGACAAUAAAGGCAGCCAGUGGUUC